ensembl:lncRNA
GUACCUUGGUGACCUCAGAUCCUGUUUGUGACCAAAUUUGCCACAUGAGGUACAGUAACGAGAAUUCAGGUGGCCCCUCUGGUCUCAGAAGAAACCUGGUGUUUUGGAGAUUACUCCUGCCCUUACUGCUCUAGGUGGGCCUGAUUCUCCAAGCAACACCUCAUAGCACCUUUUCACAUGACCUGAUACAAAACCCUCUCAGGGCCACCACAGCAAUGUGGGAUCCAAGCCACGUCUGCAACCUACACCACAGCUUACUGCAACUCCAGAUUCUUAACCCACAGCAAGGCCAGGGAUCAAACCCACAACCUCAUGGUUCCUAGUCAGAUUCAUUAACCACUGAGCCACGAGGGGAACUCCAUGAACUCUUAGUUUCCAUGGAAUUAACUAUGAUAUUUAGGGUCAAUACUUAGCAUCUUUGUUAAGAACCGGGAUGGGUUAAGUUUUUUAAUUUUGAUGCUUUUGGGGGCCUUACUAUCACUG